rnacentral:tRNA from 1 species
AUUUUUUUAGUACAACAGAAAGUAUAAGUGGCUUCCAACCACACGGUCUUGGUUAAAACCCAAGAAAAAAUA